UUUAGCUUGAUGCAUGUUUUUGGUGUAAAAAGAUGAGGUAGUACACGUGUAUUCUUUUAACACCAUCUCAUCUUACUAGGAUGUGUGGCCGACUUCUUUCGAAUAAAGAGAUAAAAAUAUGUAUUUUGGCUAUUCAUUAGGGAGCGUAUAGAACAGAGGAGGAAAAGUGGAAAAUAGAAGAAAAAAGAGACACACAUAUUUACUUAUUUGUAAAAAGAAAGGGGAAAAAGAAAGUAAUUGAGCGUUUGAAGUGAAUGUUGUGGAUCAGGAGACGAACUCAAGAAUCUGGUUAAAUUACUUCUAUAUCGUCAGAAUAGAGCAAUUGCGUAAUCGAGACAAACAAAAAACGUAAAGAGACACGGAUUUACAUGGUUCACCAACGUUGUGUUGGCUACGUCCAUAGAAAGGAAAGGAGGGCAGAUUGUAUUCAGAUUACAGAGUUAUGUGCCUUACUUGUAUAUAAAUAGGCAUACGAGACAGCUAGGUCAAUAUAACAAUUAGGACAAAAAACAGAAACAUAACAUAGCUUCGGGUAACAAUAUAGAUUCAAGGCAUAUUAACAUUUUGUUA